GUGAAAUUGUUGAAAGGGAAACGAUAGUGUCCAGUAUGGGGCGUGUGCGGCGAGCGGGAGGCUCUGGUCUUCCGUAAGCGGCACGUCCGAGUCAGAGACAGUGAGCCGGUGGGCAGACGGCGCAUGGGAUGGUAGGGACCCCCGGGUCUUGGUAUAGCCCGUGCGAGGCGCGUGCGGGGUCACUGUUACUAGUGGGGGACGUUUUGAUGGGGGUGCUGUGGUGUGUGGUACGUGUCAGACUGCAUGCAGACUGGCGCAAUCCGCUACAAUCAACUUAUUCCAACCAACCCAGCAUCUGACGAAAUGGGCGCUAACGACCCGUCUUGAAACACGGACCAAGGAGUUCAACAACCAGGCGAGUAUUAGAGUGGCAAACUCUGAUGCGGAAGGAAAGUGAGGACUGCGAGGUGGAUGAUGGAUUAAACUAUCCCACUGCAGCAGGGACCGGAAGUGAAUUUCAAUUCAUGCACCGCGUAGGAGCCUGCGUGUUGAGACCCGAAAGGCGGUGAACUAUGCCUGACUAGGGCGAAGCCAGAGGAAACUCUGGUGGAGGCUCGCAGCCGUUCUGACGUGCAAAUCGAUGGUCAAAGUUGGGUAUAGGGGCGAAAGACUAAUCGAACCGCCUAGUAGCUGGUUCCCUCCGAAGUUUCCCUCAGGAUAGCAGGCCCACUUGUAGUAGUUGUACCAGGUAAAGCGAAUGACUAGAGGCCUUGGGGCAGUAAAUGCCUUAACCUAUUCUCAAACUUUAAAUGGGUACGGACAGAGCGCUUGCUUGGGUGAAGCGGCUCUGGGGAAUGAGUGU
rnacentral:rRNA from 1 species